rnacentral:lncRNA from 10 species
GGGCUGGGCAGGAUGACUAAUGCCUGUAAUCCCAGAACUUUGGGAGGCCAAGGCAGAUCGAUCAUCUGAGGUCAGGAGUUCGAGACCAGCCUGCCAACAUGGUGAAACCCCGUCUCUACUAAAAAUACAAAAAUUAGCUGGGCAUGGUGGCACAUGCUGGCUAUCCCAGCUUUUUGGGAGGCUGAGGCAGGAGAAUCACUUGAACCCAGGAGGUGGAAGUUGCAGUGAACUGAGAUCAUGCCACUGCACUCCAGCCUGGGCGACAGAGCAAGCCUCUGUCUCAAAAAAAAAAAAAAAAAAAAAAAAAAGAAAGAAAAGAAAGAAAUAGACCUGAAGGCAUUGCAUGUUGAGGCAAUUACUAAAUUUAGCUCUCAGGUUUGGGUUUUUAUCAACCAAAAAGACAUGACUAGAAGGCUGUGUUAAAUACUAGUCUAGUGUUUAAACAUCUGAUUGACUAAUUGCACAUAUUUCACAUUCUAUUCUGUGCAAUAGAAAUACAAAUUAAUAACGGGCUGGGUGUGGUGGCUCACAUCUGUAAUUCCAGCACUUUGGGAGGCUAAGGCAGGUGGAUCAGUUGAAGUCAGCAGUUCAAGACCAGCCUGGCCAAUAUGGUGAAACACCAUCUCUACUAAAAAUACAAAAACUAGCCAGGUGUGGUAGCACACACCUGUAAUACCAGCUACUUAGGAGGCUGAGGCAGGAGAAUUGCUUGAACCCAGGAGGUGGAGGUUGCAUUGAGCGGAGAUCAUGUCACUGCACUCCAGCCUGGGUGACAGAGUGAGACCUCAUCUC